rnacentral:rRNA from 1 species
CGUACACUCCUACGGGAGGCAGCAGUGGGGAAUAUUGCACAAUGGGCGCAAGCCUGAUGCAGCCAUGCCGCGUGUAUGAAGAAGGCCUUCGGGUUGUAAAGUACUUUCAGCGGGGAGGAAGGCGAUAAGGUUAAUAACCUUGUCGAUUGACGUUACCCGCAGAAGAAGCACCGGCUAACUCCGUACCAGCAGCCGCGGUAAUACGGAGGGUGCAAGCGUUAAUCGGAAUUACUGGGCGUAAAGCGCACGCAGGCGGUCUGUCAAGUCGGAUGUGAAAUCCCCGGGCUCAACCUGGGAACUGCAUUCGAAACUGGCAGGCUAGAGUCUUGUAGAGGGGGGUAGAAUUCCAGGUGUAGCGGUGAAAUGCGUAGAGAUCUGGAGGAAUACCGGUGGCGAAGGCGGCCCCCUGGACAAAGACUGACGCUCAGGUGCGAAAGCGUGGGGAGCAAACAGGAUUAGAAACCCUAGUAGUCCCAUGA